ensembl:lincRNA
GCUCCUGCCUGUGAUUGGCAAGUCUGAAAUCGUUUCGGUGGGGAAACGUAUCGCAUCAAGAACAGGAAGAUUCUUGUUUGGUGCCAGAGCAGCUUGAAAUCUGGUCCAGAAUAUUUUAUCAAAAAGAAAAAAAAAAAAAAAAAAAAAAGCUCUGACUUGGGAUUCUCUCUUCUGAGCAAGACAAUUGCAAUCUGCUUCAAGCUUUAGAGCUAAUGGUACCACCCACUGAGUCUCCUUUUGGACCUAUGAAUAGGGACAAUUCUCACAGUUUUAAAGUGGCCCCAUCAUGUCAAGCUACUAGAGGCAGCUGGGCCACACCCUCCUGGGAGGGACUUCUGAAUUCCCCAGGGCUGUUUUCAUCUGACUUUUGGAAAGUUUCCUGCAUCCAGGUUCCAGCCUUGAGUUCCUGCCUGACUUUCUGGAUUAUAAGAUGAAAUGGAGGAACAAGAUGAACCAGAGAUCUGGCAAGAGGCAUCUAAUAGUACCAUCGAGGACAGUGGCUCCCUACAGACCCUUAGCCCACCUCUGAUACAUUCACGCUCAUGGUGUUUUCCACAGAUGUCUCACAUUUCACAAACCUGUCAAUUCUAGUACAUAUCAUCUUGAACUAUG